AUUGAACGCUGGCGGCAUGCCUUACACAUGCAAGUCGAACGGUAACAGGUCUUCGGAUGCUGACGAGUGGCGAACGGGUGAGUAAUACAUCGGAACGUGCCUAGUAGUGGGGGAUAACUACUCGAAAGAGUGGCUAAUACCGCAUGAGAUCUACGGAUGAAAGCAGGGGAUCGCCAGACCUUGUGCUACUAGAGCGGCCGAUGGCAGAUUAGGUAGUUGGUGGGAUAAAAGCUUACCAAGCCGACGAUCUGUAGCUGGGCUGAGAGGACGAUCAGCCACACUGGGACUGCGAAACGGCCCAGACUUCUACGGGAGGCAGCAGUGGGGAAUUUUGGACAAUGGGCGCAAGCCUGAUCCAGCAAUGCCGCGUGCAGGAUGAAAGCCUUCGGGUUGUAAACUGCUUUUGUACGGAACGAAAAGCCCUGGGUUAAUACCCUGGGGUCAUGACGGUACCGUAAGAAUAAGCACCGGCUAACUACGUGCCAGCCGCCGCGGUAAUAC
rnacentral:rRNA from 1 species